rnacentral:rRNA from 1 species
UACAGAGGGGGCAAGCGUUGUUCGGAAUUACUGGGCGUAAAGGGCGCGUAGGCGGCCUGCUAAGUCGAACGUGAAAUCCCCGGGCUCAACCCGGGAACUGCGUCCGAUACUGGUAGGCUUGAAUUCGGGAGAGGGAUGCGGAAUUCCAGGUGUAGCGGUGAAAUGCGUAGAUAUCUGGAGGAACACCGGUGGCGAAGGCGGCAUCCUGGACCGACACUGACGCUGAGGAGCGAAAGCCAGGGGAGCAAACGGG